rnacentral:lncRNA from 1 species
GUGAUAUCCUUACUGCGUUAGUGUAGUUUAUUUCUUAUUUAACAAUUUCAGAUCAGGAGGACUAGAUUCUAGAGCCCGAUCCGUAAGAAGAUUGUGAGUAGAUGCUAAAUAUUUUUUCUUUUCCAUUUAUUUUCUUAUUUCUUGUGUUUCUUUCAAAAGAGUGAAUUUCGUAAUGUUGUUUGUGUAAAGAAUAUAAACCUUAACCCUUUUAUUUCGCUUCCGCACUUAAGUUAUUAUCUAUUUUCUUUGGGUAUUUUCGGGGUCGUUACAACCACCCCCUUCGUCCCAACCUGCCUCCGCCAACAACGACAUAAAUCCACCACUCGAAGAGAAUAGUCACAACUCGUUCUAUUCCAAACUCGCCAAGCUGGAGUUCCCGAUCUUCGCCAAGGGUGACCCGACUGAAUGGUUGUGUUCGGUUGGCCA